AACGGUCUAUACCUGCGGUACCUGCGGAAGGAUCAUUAAAGAGAAAACUGCCCUUUGGGUAGAUCUCCCACCCUUUGUUUACCUUACCUUUGUUGCUUUGGCAGGCCCGUCUUCUGACCACCGGCUUUAGCUGGUCCGUGCCUGCCAGAGGACCCCAAACUCUUAAUUUUAAGUUGUCCGAGUCUUAUAAAAUAGUAAAAACUUUUAGCAACGGAUCUCU
rnacentral:misc_RNA from 1 species